UGAACGCUGGCGGCAGGCUUAACACAUGCAAGUCGAGCGGAAACGAUGGUAGCUUGCUACCAGGCGUCGAGCGGCGGACGGGUGAGUAAUACUUAGGAAUCUACCUAGUAGUGGGGGAUAGCACGGGGAAACUCGUAUUAAUACCGCAUACGACCUACGGGAGAAAGGGGGCAGUUUACUGCUCUCGCUAUUAGAUGAGCCUAAGUCGGAUUAGCUAGAUGGUGGGGUAAAGGCCUACCAUGGCGACGAUCUGUAGCUGGUCUGAGAGGAUGAUCAGCCACACCGGGACUGAGACACGGCCCGGACUCCUACGGGAGGCAGCAGUGGGGAAUAUUGGACAAUGGGGGAAACCCUGAUCCAGCCAUGCCGCGUGUGUGAAGAAGGCCUUUUGGUUGUAAAGCACUUUAAGCAGUGAAGAAGACUCCGUGGUUAAUACCCACGGACGAUGACAUUAGCUGCAGAAUAAGCACCGGCUAACUCUGUGCCAGCAGCCGCGGUAAUACAGAGGGUGCAAGCGUUAAUCGGAAUUACUGGGCGUAAAGCGAGCGUAGGUGGCUUGAUAAGUCAGAUGUGAAAUCCCCGGGCUUAACCUGGGAACUGCAUCUGAAACUGUUAGGCUAGAGUAGGUGAGAGGGAAGUAGAAUUUCAGGUGUAGCGGUGAAAUGCGUAGAGAUCUGAAGGAAUACCGAUGGCGAAGGCAGCUUCCUGGCAUCAUACUGACACUGAGGCUCGAAAGCGUGGGUAGCAAACAGGAUUAGAUACCCUGGUAGUCCACGCCGUAAACGAUGUCUACUAGUCGUUGGGUCCCUUGAGGACUUAGUGACGCAGCUAACGCAAUAAGUAGACCG
rnacentral:rRNA from 1 species